ACGCCGCGUGAACGAUGAAGGUCUUCGGAUUGUAAAGUUCUGUUGUCAGGGACGAACACGUACCGUUCGAAUAGGGCGGUACCUUGACGGUACCUGACGAGAAAGCCACGGCUAACUACGUGCCAGCAGCCGCGGUAAUACGUAGGUGGCAAGCGUUGUCCGGAUUUAUUGGGCGUAAAGCGCGCGCAGGCGGCUAUGUAAGUCUGGUGUUAAAGCCCGGGGCUCAACCCCGGUUCGCAUCGGAAACUGUGUAGCUUGAGUGCAGAAGAGGAAAGCGGUAUUCCACGUGUAGCGGUGAAAUGCGUAGAGAUGUGGAGGAACACCAGUGGCGAAGGCGGCUUUCUGGUCUGUAACUGACGCUGAGGCGCGAAAGCGUGGGGAGCAAACAGGA
rnacentral:rRNA from 1 species